UCCGCCCGAGUACUACAAGCAUAAGCUUAAAACUCAAAGGACUUGGCGGUGUCUCAGACCCACCUAGAGGAGCCUGUUCUAGAACCGAUAACCCCCGUUAAACCUCACCACCCCUUGUUUUCCCCGCCUAUAUACCGCCGUCGUCAGCUUACCCUGUGAAGGACAAACAGUAAGCAAAAUGGAUAAAACCCGAAACGUCAGGCCGAGGUGUAGCGAACGAGGUGGGAAGAAAUGGGCUACAUUUUCUAUCAUAGAAUAUUCACGAACGGCACCCUGAAAUAUAUGCCUGAAGGUGGAUUUAGUAGUAAAAAGAAAA
rnacentral:rRNA from 1 species